rnacentral:rRNA from 1 species
UACGUAGGGGGGCAAGCGUUGUCCGGAAUUAUUGGGCGUAAAGAGCGUGUAGGCGGCCAGAUAAGUCCGCUGUGAAAUCUCGAGGCUCAACUUCGAGCUGUCGGUGGAAACUAUCUGGCUAGAGUCCGGAAGAGGAGAAUGGAAUUCCUGGUGUAGCGGUGAAAUGCGCAGAUAUCAGGAAGAACACCCGUGGCGAAGGCGGUUCUCUGGGACGGUACUGACGCUGAGGCGCGAAAGCGUGGGGGAGCGAACAGG